AUGAAACAUGCUUGAUGAGCAAAAUAUCAGAACAGGAGAUCUGACAGAGACUUUUGCUAAAAUCUAUGCAUGUGAGGGUGCCUGGGUGGCUCAGUGGGU